AUGCUUAACACAUGCAAGUCGAACGGAAACGACACUAACAAUCCUUUCGGGUGCGUUAAUGGGCGUCGAGCGGCGGACGGGUGAGUAAUGCCUAGGAAAUUGCCUUGAUGUGGGGGAUAACCAUUGGAAACGAUGGCUAAUACCGCAUAAUGCCUACGGGCCAAAGAGGGGGAUCUUCGGACCUCUCGCGUCAAGAUAUGCCUAGGUGGGAUUAGCUAGUUGGUGAGGUAAUGGCUCACCAAGGCGACGAUCCCUAGCUGGUCUGAGAGGAUGAUCAGCCGCACUGGAACUGAGACACGGUCCAGACUCCUACGGGAGGCAGCAGUGGGGAAUAUUGCACAAUGGGCGAAAGCCUGAUGCAGCCAUGCCGCGUGUAUGAAGAAGGCCUUCGGGUUGUAAAGUACUUUCAGUUGUGAGGAAGGGGGUAACGUUAAUAGCGUUAUCUCUUGACGUUAGCAACAGAAGAAGCACCGGCUAACUCCGUGCCAGCAGCCGCGGUAAUACGGAGGGUGCGAGCGUUAAUCGGAAUUACUGGGCGUAAAGCGCAUGCAGGUGGUUCAUUAAGUCAGAUGUGAAAGCCCGGGGCUCAACCUCGGAACUGCAUUUGAAACUGGUGAACUAGAGUGCUGUAGAGGGGGGUAGAAUUUCAGGUGUAGCGGUGAAAUACGUAGAGAUCUGAAGGAACACCAGUGGAAG
rnacentral:rRNA from 1 species